GGGGAAUCUUCCGCAAUGGACGAAAGUCUGACGGAGCAACGCCGCGUGAGUGAUGACGGCCUUCGGGUUGUAAAGCUCUGUUAAUCGGGACGAAAGGCCUUCUUGCGAAUAGUGAGAAGGAUUGACAGUACCGGAAUAGAAAGCCACGGCUAACUACGUGCCAGCAGCCGCGGUAAUACGUAGGUGGCAAGCGUUGUCCGGAAUUAUUGGGCGUAAAGCGCGCGCAGGCGGAUAGGUCAGUCUGUCUUAAAAGUUCGGGGCUUAACCCCGUGAUGGGAUGGAAACUGCCAAUCUAGAGUAUCGGAGAGGAAAGUGGAAUUCCUAGUGUAGCGGUGAAAUGCGUAGAUAUUAGGAAGAACACCAGUGGCGAAGGCGACUUUCUGGACGAAAACUGACGCUGAGGCGCGAAAGCCAGGGGAGCGAACGGGAUUAGAUACCCCGGUAGUCCUGGCCGUAAACGAUGGGUACUAGGUGUAGGAGGUAUCGACCCCUUCUGUGCCGGAGUUAACGCAAUAAGUACCCCGCCUGGGGAGUACGACCGCAAGGUUG
rnacentral:rRNA from 1 species